CCAUGCAGUCGACGGUACAGGAAGAGCUUGCUUCUUUGCUGACGAGUGGCGGACGGGUGAGUAAUGUCUGGGAAACUGCCUGAUGGAGGGGGAUAACUACUGGAAACGGUAGCUAAUACCGCAUAACGUCGCAAGACCAAAGAGGGGGACCUUCGGGCCUCUUGCCAUCGGAUGUGCCCAGAUGGGAUUAGCUAGUAGGUGGGGUAACGGCUCACCUAGGCGACGAUCCCUAGCUGGUCUGAGAGGAUGACCAGCCACACUGGAACUGAGACACGGUCCAGACUCCUACGGGAGGCMGCAGUGGGGAAUAUUGCACAAUGGGCGCAAGCCUGAUGCAGCCAUGCCGCGUGUAUGAAGAAGGCCUUCGGGUUGUAAAGUACUUUCAGCGGGGAGGAAGGGAGUAAAGUUAAUACCUUUGCUCAUUGACGUUACCCGCAGAAGAAGCACCGGCUAACUCCGUGCCAG
rnacentral:rRNA from 1 species